rnacentral:rRNA from 1 species
GACGAACGCUGGCGGCGUGCUUAACACAUGCAAGUCGAACGGAAAGGCCCUGCUUUUGUGGGGUGCUCGAGUGGCGAACGGGUGAGUAACACGUGAGUAACCUGCCCUUGACCUUGGGAUAACUUCAGGAAACUGGGGCUAAUACCGGAUAGGAGCUCCUGCUGCAUGGUGGAGGUUGGAAAGUUUCGGCGGUUGGGGAUGGACUCGCGGCUUAUCAGCUUGUUGGUGGGGUAGUGGCUUACCAAGGCUUUGACGGGUAGCCGGCCUGAGAGGGUGACCGGCCACAUUGGGACUGAGAUACGGCCCAGACUCCUACGGGAGGCAGCAGUGGGGAAUAUUGCACAAUGGGCGGAAGCCUGAUGCAGCAACGCCGCGUGCGGGAUGACGGCCUUCGGGUUGUAAACCGCUUUCGCCUGUGACGAAGCGUGAGUGACGGUAAUGGGUAAAGAAGCACCGGCUAACUACGUG